AAUGACCCUGUUUCAUGUAUUGAUCAAUGCCUACCCUACAAAUUAAGUCCUUUGCCAACACUAUCUCGGCAUCAGCUUCCCCAAAAAUACCACCCAAUUCUGUCAAUUUUAGAUCUGAAUCUAACCCUAAAACCCCUAAAUCACCCCAAACGGUCCCAAACUCACACUAUAUGAACUCUAGCCUGCCCUCACCACCAUUCAACAGCCAAUUCCCCAAAAUCCCUCUUUAAUUUCCCCAAAUCUUAAAUCGAGAAAUCCUGAACCCUAACUUUUCACCUCUUUUGAUUUUCUUUUGUCAACUUGUGUUUGUCUGAACCAAAAUCUCCAUUAGUCAACUGUUCUUGUUGAGAACAAUCGAUUAAUGGUAGUUUAAGUUCAGUUCACCCUGUUGAAGUUCGAUCGAACCCCUGACUAGUCCGGAUUUGGAACAAGUUCUGGUAAUUCCUUUGCCAUUCUUUUCUCCUUUACCAUUCUGAUUAUCCCUUUCAUGUCUUUUUUUGUUUGUUUGUUUGUUUUGUUAGUAGUAUGUUUUAGGUUUUUCUUUUCUUCAGGACUAUUCUUGUUUAUUUAUGUUUGCAUCUGAUUAUUUGAUUAGUAAAAGCAAGUUAAGAUUUCAUCAUCUAAAGUUUGAUUUCAAUUGCAUAAACUUAGUCUAACUAGGGUCAUCUUUAGGUUUGAUGCAUGAAAUGAUUCUGCUCUUUCUUCCAUGUUUCUAUCUUAGGUUUAGUACUUGUAUAGGAUAAUUUAUAGUUUAUCUUUGCAGUUCCAUAUUAAUUAGUUGUUUAAAUUGAGUUUUUAUUUAGGUUUAAUUAGAUUAGCAUUUUUAUUUACCAAUUAGCUUAGUUUUAGGUUUAAAUUGCAUCAUCAUGCUUCUGCUUGUAAUUUCGAUUUAGAUUUUGGAUCCCUUUUUAUUUUUGCCUCUAUUUUCCUUGACUUGUAAAUCACUAGAAACUUAUAGGGACCUAAUUAAACUAAAAGAAAACUUAGGGGAAUAUCAGAACUUUAAAAAAUAAAUAUCUAAAAGAGGAUGGCUCUAGAAGUGUACUAGCCGCCCAAAUUGAUUUUAAAAUAUGCUGAAAUGGACGGCUGGACAUUUAUCCUCUGAAAAUAUGUAGUACUAUCUAUGGAAUUUAAGGUAGAAUAUUCUUUAGAUUCUAUUUUUGGAUAUUCACUAUAAAAAGAAAGCUAUUCACUCAUUCAUACACAGACACAUUCAGAUUUCAUAACUCUAAGAAUACACGGAUAUUCAUAAGCAUUUUCCUGCAUUUUGAAAGGUUAAAAAAACCAAACUCCUUGAUAACUUUUCGAGGCAAAAACAUUAGUUGCCUAAAUCAGAAUUUUUGGGCUAGUCUUCUGCUGAAGACUCUGGUUUUAAGAGUUUGGGUUGCUGUUUCUUGGUUUUCCUUCUAGUUUGAUUCUGGGUGUUGUUUGUUUUUGGGUUUCUUUUGCUUCUCCAUUUCUCUAAGUUCAAUUAGCUUCUCAUCUAUUUUCUGUUGAAUUUUGUUGCUUUUUUGUUCAAGGUAUUUGACCUCAGCUUUUCUCCAUGUAAUGCUUUUUUUGUUGAAAUGAUAUAAGACUAGAGUUGCAAAUCAUAUGUAAAAAAUGAGUAUUAUUUUCAUGAUUGUUGUAGUUUUACAUUGAUAUAGAUCUGAUUGGUCUUUAUUAUUUAAAACUUUUAAGUAACUUGGUAUGAAUAACCUAGUUAAUACAUGGAAGCUUUUGUAGUUUUCAUCCUAAAAAUAACCUUAUUUGAAGAUGUUUCUUUAGCCAAAUGUUCUGUAUGUUAAGGCUGAUUCUGGAUGUUGGCUUAUUAAAUUCACGUCUUACCUUCUUUUUCUGUUGAAUGAAUAAUAUGUUGGUUCCUUAAUAUCACUUGAGUUCUGUUGCUAACCAUGAGCUAUACUAGUUGGCCAAAUUAGCAGGUUCAAAAGCUAAGAGUUGGAAUUUUACUGUCGGUAGCAUGCUGGAUCUGUGUGUUCAUGCAUUGGACUAAGCUUUUGAUGGACAAAUCAUUCCCAAAAAAAGCAGUUGUUCAUUACGUUCUUAAUUACAUAGAGUUGUAACAGAUUAGUUGUUAAUGUAGUGUUUAUGUAUUAGUAGGUUGUAAUGUACUACUCUAAUUUAAGAAAUCUUUAUUCUAGAGGACUGUAAUGAAUUAGGCUUCAAUUUCAUGUACCGAGAUUCAAUACAGCUGCUUUAGGAGUGUAAUUAUGUUAUUUUCAUAUUUUCAUAAGUAUAGUGGUGCAAUGGUCAAAGCUAUCGGCCAAAUCUUUAAGGCCAAAAUGCCUUUUCCUAAUUCAAGGUGGGUCAAACUUGGGAAUGAGCCUACAUGGGAAAAACAAAUCUCGACAAUUCUGGGCCUUAAGCCCAAUAUCUUGGCUCAGUUGUAAAGUUAAUUUAUGAACUACAGUAUAAAUGUAUGUCCUUGAAUAUCUUGCAAAUCAUGUGUAGUGCAAUUAAUUUUCAAAACUUGAAUUGUAUUUUGAUUUCUAGAUUUUGAUCUUUCUAAUUAGAAGUGAAUUAGGUUACAACUUUUAUAAA
rnacentral:lncRNA from 1 species